CAGCCGCCACGGUAAUACGAAGGGGGCUAGCGUUGUUCGGAUUUACUGGGCGUAAAGGGCGCGUAGGCGGACUGAUAAGUCAGGGGUGAAAUCCCAAGGCUCAACCUUGGAACUGCCUUUGAUACUGUUUGUCUUGAGUUCGAGAGAGGUAAGUGGAACUGCGAGUGUAGAGGUGAAAUUCGUAGAUAUUCGCAAGAACACCAGUGGCGAAGGCGGCUUACUGGCUCGAAACUGACGCUGAGGCGCGAAAGCGUGGGGAGCAAACAGGAUUAGAGACCCCUGUAGUCCCUGUCUCUUAUAC
rnacentral:rRNA from 1 species